GCCCCUGUCCCGGACAGAGUGGAAUAAGAGCGCCUCCUUCAAUCCCCACUCGCGCCUGCACCCAGAGCACCUGGGACACAGCGGCUCUGUCUUGGAGAACAGAAUGAAGCACCCCAGUUCUCUGCUGAGCACAUGGGCAUCUGCAAUAAAGAUUUAAUUUCCCAGCUUCUCCUGAAGCUCGGUAUGGCCACAACACUAAAUUCUGCCCGAGGAGAUUAAGCAAAAUAGUAUGGGACUUCCAAGAAAUGUUUUUAAAGUCAGGGGCAGGCCUUUCUUCAUGCCUUCUUCCUCUUUGCUGGCUGGAACGCAAAGACCAUGGCAGGAGGCCAAGCAGCCAUCCUGGAAGGUGAAAGCCUCAUACUAAGGACGUCAGACAGCGAAAUAAGAGCCUGGGUCCUUGACCCUGUAGACAUCUCCCUCCCCAUCCUGGUCUGUCUGCCUUGACUCCUUUCAUAUGAGAGAAAUAAACUUUUAACUUGCGUAAACCAGAAAGAAAAUUUUACAAUUUUUUUUCACACACAGUUGAAUGGAAGCCAGACUCAUACACUAAUCUCAUCUCCACUUUUAGAGAUGAGGGGAACAGCUUGCCCACAGUGACAGCCAGUGUGAGCUGGGUUUCUGUUGCCCAACUCAUUGGGGUUCCAACCCUCACCUAGACUGCCCUAUGAAAUACCUAGAACUUGGUCAGGAGAAAAGAUAAGAGGGGAAAAUGUCAGCAAAAGCCAAAGACUAAGGGUAGCAGGGGCAGAAGUGAGAGUGGGAAGUGAAAGGUGAUAUAAUUUCCCUAUUCCACUGAGCAGGAAGAGGCUGCCUUUGCAUCCCUCUGUGUCGGGAGACAGUCUGGGGACAGUCAGCAGGCACCUUGCUGCAGGAGAGCCCCUGCAAGAGCAGCCUUUGUGGAGCUGUCCCUUCCACCCCAGUAGGAGCUUCUCGGACACAGCAUGGCCUCUCUCCUUCACUCUGGUGUCUUCACUCAGUACUGGGUCCCAGAUUUUUUUUUUUUUUUUUUUUUUUUUUGAGAUGGAGUCUCACUCUGUUGCCCAGGCUGGAGUGCAGUGGCUCGAUCUCGGCCCACUGCAACCUCCUCCUCCUCCUGGGUUCAAGCGGUUCUCCUGCCUCAGCCUCUGGAACAUCUGGGAUUACAGGCGCCCACCACCAUGCCCGACUAAUUUUUUUUUUUUUUUUGUAUUUUUAGUAGAGAUGGGGUUUCACCAUGUUGGCCAGGCUGGUCUCGAACUCCUGACCUCAAGUGAUCCACCCGCCUCAGCCUCCCAAAUUGCUGGGAUUACAGGCAUGAGCCACCACGCCCGGCCCGGGUCCCAGAUCUCUGAGUCCACCAGAGUGGGGCUCAGAGUCCUCUAUCCACCAACCACAUGCAGCCAUCCAACACGCUGUCUCUCUUCUGGCCUCAGCCUCAUUGUCCUUGGAGUGCCAGUCUCUUGUUUAAGCAUGGCAGAGCCUUAAUACUGGACCAUCCACUACAUGCUAGAAGGGGAAGAACUCCUCACAAUGUAACAAUUUUUGUAUUUAACUUAUGGAUAUGCUCAUUCUUUCUAAACAAUUCUUAUAAGGAAAUUUUAAGUAUAUUAAAAAAUUAGAAUAGUAUGACCACCCCAACACUGCCCAGCUUCAUUAAUAAUCCACACAUCUAAAACCCAUCUAGUCCUUGACACACACACAAUCAUUAUGAAACAACCCAAGACAUAAAUUGAUUUCAUCCAUAAAUACUGAAAUUAUGAUUCAAGAGAACUUUUUUUUUUUUUUUCUUAAACCAAGGCUGAGGUGGGAGAACUGCUUGAGCCCAGGAGUUCAAGACCAGCUUAGGUAACACUGCAAAACCCAGUCUCUAGAGAAAAAAAAAACAAAACCAAUCAUAACCAUAGCCCCACUGUCAUAUGUUUAAAUGUUGUUUCCUUAAUAUCAUCAAAUAUCCAGCCAGAGUUCAAAUUUGCUUUGUCCCUUAAGCACAUUUUUACAAGAUUGAUUGGCUAGUUCAGAUCAAGAGGCAAACAAGGUUCAUACAUUGCACUGGAUUCACACGUCUCAAGUAUCUUUCAAUCUCCAGGCUUCCCUUCCCUUCCCUUUUCCUCUUGUAAUGUAUUUGUUGAAGAAUCUAGGUCCCUCUGUAGUCACUCCUCUCCCCAUUCCCAGCCCCUGGUAACCACUUACCUGUUUUCUGACCCUAUAAUUUUGUAGGGCCCACUUUGUACUGAUGUACUUCUGACUAGGUGUGUUUAUGUUCAAGCAUCAGAGCCAAGGCCCAAACCUCUACCCUGGCCCUCCUUCUGCUGUGGCCCAACUGUACCCAGAGCUGGGCUCUCCCGUCUCCCUGCCUGUUAAUCCUAGAAGUGGGUGCCGAGGAGGGAGAAACAGGAAGGAGGGAGUUGGGGAGGGCAGCUUGUUACAUGGACAUCAGGGCUGUUCCCACUAGCAGCAACAGCUUUGUGUUAGCUUGGCUCCAAUUUGAAUGAAAUAUUCCAAGGCCAUUUUCCCCAACACGUUGUUACCAAAAAAACUCCCAGCAUGCAGAAAAGUUGAAAGAAUUGUACAGUGAACACCCCUUAAGGAGUUUCUACCAUUAACAUUUUAUUUAAAGGCUUUGGGACUCUGAAGUAUAAUGUUUGUGAAAUGCUAUGAGCCAGACCCUCCACACUGAAAAUUCCCAGUGUAAAUUAAUUUGUUAAAUGCUCUUAGAAUUCCUGCAAUAAAGAACACCUAUCUAACCUUAGUUAUCCCUGUGUUUCCCAAAUAUAUCUUACUUUGGAGCACUUUUUUUUUAGUACCGAUUUACAUCCUGGGAAAUGGUGUUUACCAUGCUUUAAAAAAAACUGUGGUAAAAUAAAGAUAAGAUUUACCAUCUUAACCAUUUUAGAGUGUACAGUUGAGUUGGCAUACAGCAUUCACAUAACUUAACUGUGCAACCAAUCCACAGGACUUUUUAUCUUGCAAAACUGAAACACUAUACCCAUUAAACAACUCCUCAUUUCCUCCUCCCCCAGUCCUUGGCAACUACCAUUCUACUUGUUUCUAUGCAUUUGACUGCUCUAGAUACUUCACAUAAAUGGAAGCAUAGAGUAUUUGUCUUCCAGUGACUGGCUUACUUCACUUAGCAUCAUGUCCUCAAGAUUCAUCCAUGUUGCAGCACAUGUCAGCGUAUCUUCCUUUUAGAGGCUGAAUAAUAUUCCACUGUAUGAAUAUACCACAUUUUGUUGAUCAUUCACCCACUGAUGGGCACAUAUUGCUUCCAUCUCUUAGCUACUGUGAAUAAUGGUGCCGUGAGUAUGGGCAUACAAAAACUACCACUAAUAUUUUACAGUGCUUGCUUCAUAUCUGUCCAUGUGUCCGUCACUCCACCCAUCAUAUUUUUUAUGUAUUUCAUAAGUUACAGACCACAGUAACUUCCCUCAAACAUGUCAGUAUACAUAUCAAUGACCAGCGUUCAUUGUUUUUUUCCAAGUCAUUUUGAACUGCCGUAGCAAUGAGUAAUAUAGCCUCAAACGCACACAUACACACACAACACGUGCGUCACUACAGAAAACUUUUCCUGGCAGACAGGAAAGGGCCCAUUGUUGGUGAUGUCAUUUUAAUUAAGAUAAAACCACCACCACCAUUUAGUAAUAGCCUGGGGUAACAAGGGCUGCGUCACGGACUGCCACUUUUGCCAUCCUGCUCAGAGCAGGGCCAUGCCUAACCCGUAUCUGGGGAUUGCUUCAGAUAUUAUGAAUCGCUUCAAUAUUAUGAAUUACUACAAUUCAUAAUAAUUGCUUCAGAUAUUAUGAAUUACAAUAUGGUUCAAAGGUGCUUUAGCAGAUGAAGACACAAAUGUGUAAACACAUAUGAAUUACAAUGCAGACUGCCCAGAUGUGUAGCAAGUCCUCUGAAUGUUUACUAAACAGUAAGGUGAUUCCAGAGGAAGAUGCUUGAGGACAAUUUGGGAAAACUGACAACUUGAAAACUCAGUCUCUCUAGGCAAGGCCUACUUGCAGAUAACCUUGGGAGUUCUGUGCUGGGAGGAAAGCUAAAGGACUAAGUUAGGCCUCUGAAUCUGCUCUGGAAGCCUGCAUGCACUUGGGUCAGAACAAGCCCAUGUGUCAAUGUGGGUAAAGAUUCCUCAGCUGAUAAGCAGGAAAAUGGGCAGGGCAUUUUGGUCUUUGAGGUUCAAAGCUCAGAUGCUCACUGCCUUGGUAUACACGCACACACACCCCACCCCCCAGCUGACGGCACAAGAGUAUACAGAUGCAAUAGUCUAAAGUACAUUGUCCAAAUAUGGAUGGCCAUGAGCCACAUGUGGCUAUGAAGCACUUAAAUGUGGCUAGUCUGAACUGAGAUGGGCCCUAUAAAAUAUUUCAGUAACAGGUUUUUAUACUGAUUAUAGGUUGACAUAAUAAUAUUUUGGAUAUACCGUAUUAAAGGAAAUAUGUCAUUAAAUUUCACCUGUUUCCUUUAUUAUGUGGCUACUUGAAAAUUUUAAAAUUACAUAUGUAGCUCACACUAUAAAACACAGAUUAGAAAUAUUGUAUAGCACUGACCUAGAAACCUCCAUUUAGGUAAAACAUCUUAACCCCUUUGGAAGCAAAAUAUGUUAAAUAACAGCAUAAACUCCCACCAAGAAAAUCCUCACCUUCCUCCUUUCAACACAUUUAUUAUAUACAGCUGUCACUGCAUUGUCAAUCUGCCAAAUGGCUCUAUGUUCCAACAGGGCUGGAGUAGUCCCCUGCUCACACCAGCCUUCACAAUACUUCCCAUGUCUUCCCUGUUAACCUCUCUCCACCCAGCACCCAGGCUCCCAACUCUCCUGGCUGCCUCCAGCCCUCAGCUGGCACCACUGACAUGCUGUUUCCAGUACCCUUUUCUUCUUUCUGCAUCCUCCCUGGGGGACAUAUAUCCCUCAUCUCGUGACUUCAGCUGUCACAUAAAUUCAAAUGUUUCAGAACUCUAUUUUUUACCUCCUACAUCUGUCAGUUUAAAUGUCAGGAUAUUUUACUUUCAGUAAAGCCCUAAAAAGACAAAUCUAUGUACUUUUAAAGAAUAAAAGAAAUGACUGGCUGCAGCUCAAACCUACAACUGCUUGCGAAACUCUACAAUGUCUGGCAGAUGCUAGAAAGAAGGGGAUCAAGACAGAGCACACUUGGCGUGGUAUGCUAUCUAUAGAAAAUGUUAAAAUAAAAUUAAGUAAUCUAGGUUUCCUCUCUUUAUUUUCUACAUCUACUCUCUGAAGAGGGCAAUAAAUAAGGAAAUGUCCCAAAGAGGGACAAAUUAAGUCCCAAAAUAACACAAAAUUGGGCAAAUCCAGUCAUGAAGAAAGAACAGAGGUUCUUAAAUUGGGACACACAGAGGCAGGUCUGCAGGUCUAGGAAUCUCUGAACAUAUGUGCAAAAUUCUGGGUAUGUGUGCAUAUGUUAUAUAACAAAGCGAAGGGUCCAUAUAGCUUUCAUCGCAUUUCAAAGGGUCUAGCACUGAAAUAAGGACUACUGCUAUGUGACUUAAAAAAUGAAACUCAGGCUGGGCGCAGUGGCUCACGCCUGUAAUCCCAGCACUUUGGGAGGCCGAGGCAAGCAGAUCACCUGAGACGAGGAGUUUGAGACCCGCCUGGCCAACGGUGAAACCCAGUCUCUACUAAAAAUACAAAAAUUAGCCGGAAUUGGUGGUGUGCCUCUAGUCCCAGCUACUCAGGAGGCUGAAGAAAGAGAAUCGCUUGAACCUGGGAGGUGGAGGUUGUGACAAAGCAAGACUCCAUCUCAAAAAAAAAAAAAACCCAGAAACUCAAUUCAGUUAUGAAGGUAAAGAUGACCUGUUUACAUGAUAAUAUUUUAAGAUACCAGUGACUGCAAGCAUGUAGUUAUUAAGUCCAUUACAGUGCACAUUUAUUGACUCUGUGUAUCUUCACAGUGUGAUCUUCACCACAGCUUGCAAAGUGUAACCACUCAGCACCUUCUGCUUCCUUCUGUUCAGUUUUUCCACUGCAAUUCUUCCAGCAUAAUUUUCUGAUAGCCAGUGUAUGACUUUGGCUAAAACAAAGAUAGAGAAAUCAUGAAAUGUUUUUCCAAUUAAUGGUGUAAACAUGAAUGGAAGUUAAAACCUGAAAAUUGAAAUGUACAGGUUUUAAAAUCGCAUCAUUAACAUUUUAGCCAUUUUAUUUUAACCUGGAAAAUAUUUUACUAUAUUUACUUAAAACUGCAAGACUAAAUUUUAAUCUUACUCACUGGCAAUAACAUCACCAAAAUGAGCAAGACACAGACAAUGAAUCUCUGUCAAAUGUUGUUUAAAAAAAAACAAAAAAUAAAAUUUUUUUAAAUGAAUGUUGUUUUAAUGAUCAAUGGAAUUUCAUGAAAUGGAUAUUCAAGUUAGUCUUUUAGAUAACAUUACUAAAUUUAUAACAAUUUUAACUUUACA
rnacentral:lncRNA from 1 species